rnacentral:misc_RNA from 1 species
CCAAACUUGGUCAUUUAGAGGAAGUAAAAGUCGUAACAAGGUUUCCGUAGGUGAACCUGCGGAAGGAUCAUUAACGAAUAUCUAUGGCGUUGGUUGUAGCUGGCUCCUAGGAGCAUCUUGUGCACACCCGUCAUUCAUGUCUCAUCUUUCCACCUGUGAACCAUGUGUAGGCCUGGAUACCUCUCGCUUUGGCAACAAAGCGGAUGCAAGGAUUGCUGCGUCGACAAGGCCGGCUCUCUUUGAAUUUCCAGGUUCUAUGUCUUUUACACACCCCAUUUGAAUGAUGUAGAAUGUAGUCAAUGGGCUUUCAUGCCUAUAAAACACUAUACAACUUUCAGCAACGGAUCUCUUGGCUCUCGCAUCGAUGAAGAACGCAGC